GUUUUAACAUUAACACGCUAACAAAUGGAGUACAAAAUUUUACACAACACUUCCCUCUCUCUCUUUCUCGAGCCCCUACCUUCUUCCUCGCCUAUGUUUCUCUCUCUCUCUCUCUCUCUCUCUCUCUCUCUCUCUACAAGUUCUUAGCCCCAAAAGAAGAGGGUUUCUUUCCUAAUCUCUAUCGAGUCUAAAAAACAGCUAAACCAGAGGUUUUUCUUGCCUCCUUCUAACUUACACUUCAUCAUCUAGCAUUUAGGAAGAACCUUCUUCAAAAGCCUCAUUGUUCUUGGUUUGUUUUUGUUUUUGAAGCAAUCCCACCAUUUUAGUUUCAGGAACAUGAAAUGGGUCGAUCGGAUUUUUCUCAAAAGGCUGCAUUUCUACACUUUAUGUUUCUGAAGCAAACAUCUUCCUCUUUUUAUCAGUAAAGAAUAUCAGUAAAGGAAGAAGGAGAAGAAGAGAUGGGUUGUGUUGCCUCAAAGUUAGAGGAAGAAGAAGAAGUUGUUACCAUCUGUAGAGAAAGAAAACGGCAACUAAAGUUAGCUGUUGAGAGAAGGUAUGCUCUAGCAGAGGCUCAUUGUAAAUAUUGUCAAGCUUUAUAUGCUGUUUCAGCUGCCAUUAAGCUCUUUGUAGCUCGCCAUUCUUCUCCUUCCCCUUUUCUCAUCACAUUCCCUCCUCCAUGUUCUUCUUCUUCUCCUCCCCCUUCAGAAAAAGUGGUAAACAAUCCAAUGUUUCUUCAGCAAACACCUUCUGAUUCCGCCCAUGAAGCCAUAGCUGCCUGUCCUUCAUGUGCUUCCUCUUCUUCAACCUCUGCAGAGUCCUCCAUGGAUGAAGGAGAAGAACAAGAAGAACAAGAAGAAGAAGAAGAAGAAGAAGAAGAAGAAGAGCUAGUUGAGGAGAGGAUAGAACAGGUCCCUUCAUAUUUCUACAUGCAAAUGCCACCACCAAUGCCAUCUCCUCAGAGGGAGUUUGCAUGGGAUUUUUUCAAUCCAUUUGACAGUAUGAGGACUGAUGUCGUCGCUGCCGCCGCCGAGUAUCGACAAAGCUCGGAGGACGAUCUCAGGAUGGUGAGGGAGGAAGAAGGCAUUCCAGAGCUGGAAGAGGCAGAGGAAGAAAAGGAAGAGCAAAGGCAGAGAGUUGUGGCUGUUGUUGAAGAGGAAAAUGUUGGUGGUCUUAAAGAGCAAAGGAAUGGAGUUGAAAUGGUCAAAGAAGAGGGUAAGUUGAAGCAGAAAGGGCUAACAGUCAUUGACACACCAGUGGAAGGAAGGGAACUUUUGGAAGCUUUGCAGGACAUUGAGGAUUAUUUCAUUAGGGCUUAUGAUUCCGGAAUUGAUGUUUCUAGGAUGUUAGAGGCCAACAAAAUUCAGCUCCAGUCUGGUUUAGAGGAGAUCAAAGAAAACUCAACAAAACUCAUCCAAGCGAUAACUUGGCACCGGGCUGCUACGGUCAAGCCUUCAUCAUGUAAGAGUCUAGUAGCAUCCAGUUCAAAGAGUUCUUCGUCAUGGACAGAGUUUAAGAAUGAACUGUUUGAUGAUUAUGGCGUAAUGGACUCGGGAAGCCAUUCAUCAACUCUUGGACGGUUAUAUGCUUGGGAGAAAAAACUCUACGAAGAGGUUAAGGCUGGGGACAGUAUGCGCAAACUGUACGAGAAAAGAUGUUCACGACUAAGAAACCAGGACAUUAAAGGGAGUAAUGGAGUCACAUCUGAUAAAACUCGAGUUGCAGUAAAAGAUUUAUAUGCCAGGAUCUUGGUCGCCAUUCGGAGUGCCGAGUCUAUCUCAACAAGAAUAGAGAAACUCAGAGAUGACGAGCUACAACCUCAGAUCAUUGAGCUAUUAAAAGGCUUAACAAGAACAUGGAAAAUCAUGUUGGAGGUUCAUGAAACCCAGAAAAAGAUUAUUCUUGAAGUUAAGACUUAUUCCUGCCAUUCUUAUCUGAAAUUCUGUAACGAAUCUCAUCGUCUUGCAACACUUCAGCUUGGGGCUGAGCUUCUAAACUGGCGUUCGUGUUUUUCAAAAUAUGUUGAAUCACAAAGGGCUUACAUUGAAGCUCUCCAUGGAUGGCUGACCAAGUUUGUAAUGCCUGAGGUCGAAUUCUAUUCUCGAAGUCGGGCUUCGUCUGUACCUUAUGGGCUGCACGGACCUCCAUUGCUUUCAAUCUGCCGUGAUUGGCUAUCUUCCAUGCAAAAGUUACCAGAUAAAACAGUAUCCUUUUCAUUGAAAAGUUUUUCAAAGGAUAUGAAGGCUCUAUCAGAUAAGCAGAUGGAAGAGCAGCAACAAAAGAGAAGAGUUGAAAGUAUGGUGAAGGAACUCGAUCGAAAGAUUCUGUCAUUCCAAAAAACAGAGACCAAGUUCUUGGAAUUCAACUUUACCGAGACAAAAUCAGAGUUGGAAGUCGAAAAUGAGAACGAAUACUUGACAGAGAAGAAAGAUCAGCUGGACAUGUUCAGAAAGAAGCUAGACUUGGAGAAGGAAAAGCACCAUAACUGCAUUCAAGAAGCACAAAGUAUCACAUUAAAUGGAAUCCAAACAGGGUUUUCUGCAGUUUUUGAAUCCUUAUCAGAGUUUGCCAAGGCUUCCCAAAAAAUGUACAACGACCUCGUGACAAACAGCGAGAAUGCCAAUAAACCCGAAAAUAUGAACUAUAUUGAGGGCUCCCAAUCAGAAGAAAAUGUUGGCAGAUGAUAGGAGGGAGGGACUAAAAAGGGACAAGGUCAAGUUAUUGACUUUCUACAUUAUUGGCAAGAGGCUAAAAAUGUAGAUUUGGAUUCUAAGUGGGCAAUUAUUGUACCAUCAAUGGCAGUUGCAAAGCUUUGUCUUCAUGUAUGUGUUUUUUUCCAUUAUUAUGGUGGGACACACGUGAAAACAGAAUCUGAAUCUAGCAAAAAGACAGAUGGUGUUCACGUGGCCGUCAAAGCUUUAAAUUCUCUCUUCUCUUCUUUUUUUUUUUUUUAUGUGGACGUCUUUUAUAAUUAUCCUCCCUCUGUAAGGCCCUGCAAGCUGAGAAAGCUGGGGUAUCUCAAGAAGCUAUUCUACAGUACUGAAGGAGCUCAAGGAUCUCAAGAAGCCAUUGGCAAGUCCUUGCCACCUGACAUGAACCUUUCAACAAAGCACUACAGGGGGGCAUGGGGCGGGGGACCAUUCUUAAACAAGAAGAUAUCGACUCUUAAACAGUUCCAUUGUAUAUCCCAAGUGAUUGCAAUUGAAUAGAAACCUGGAAGAACAGUAGGGAUAGCAUGACUGAAUUUCACGACCUUCUGGCCAUACUUCAUUUUCUCUU